rnacentral:snRNA from 7 species
AUACUUACCUUGUCUGAGUCUCGGUAGAUCAAGAAUUACUGAGACUAGGUUGGAAGGCCUGCAUUGCACAUCGUGGCGCUGACCAUCCUGGUUUGUCCUUCGGGGCCGACCUGGGCGGAAUUUUUGAUAUUAAAAACAAUCAGUUCUUCUGGUUC